rnacentral:rRNA from 1 species
GAUGAACGCUGGCGGCGUGCCUAAUACAUGCAAGUCGAGCGAACGGACGAGAAGCUUGCUUCUCUGAUGUUAGCGGCGGACGGGUGAGUAACACGUGGAUAACCUACCUAUAAGACUGGGAUAACUUCGGGAAACCGGAGCUAAUACCGGAUAAUAUUUUGAACCGCAUGGUUCAAAAGUGAAAGACGGUCUUGCUGUCACUUAUAGAUGGAUCCGCGCUGCAUUAGCUAGUUGGUAAGGUAACGGCUUACCAAGGCAACGAUGCAUAGCCGACCUGAGAGUGUGAUCGGCCACACGGGAACUGAGACACGUGCCAGACUCCAACGGUAGGCAGCAGUAGGGAGUCUUCCGCAAUGGGCGAAAGCCUGACGGAGCAACGCCGCGUGAGUGAUGAAGGUCUUCGGAUCGUAAAACUCUGUUAUUAGGGAAGAACAUAUGUGUAAGUAACUGUGCACAUCUUGGCUGGACCUAAGCAGAAAGCCACGGCUAACUACGU